AAGGGAAGGCUAAGGAUGCGCCGGUUCUGGAGAGUGGAGAAAAACGCCUUCUCCUUUACCCCUCCAGGCACCUUAUUUAAAAAAAAAAACAACAACCUUUUAUUUAAAAGUCUAACCUUGGGAGUUUGCUGGUCCUCUAAUUAAACAAGCUGAACACGGUUCCGCCACACACAGCGCGAACACUGAAAGGUAAAUAAAAAUGUGCUACAGGAGAAGAAAACCCUGCAGAAUUCAUUUCUGUUGCGAUCUCUGGCGAGAGGAGGCCGAGUGGACUAUGAACUGGGAGAACUUGGUGGCUAUUCUCCAGGAUCCUGAUGCUUCUGCUCACUGGUGACACCUGCCCCUUCUGCUCAUAUUUCCUGAGUCAGCAUGACCACGCCUAACUUUGAAGUGACUGUAGACAUUCUACGUUACAGUGAGACUAGAAGAAAGAAGAGAAAUAAUAACUGCCGUGGAAGGACGGUCCCCUUGCCAACUGGCACUUAUCAAAGGACGUUGAGGGAGAGGGACAGAGUGCCUAGAUAUGAGUGUUCAUCAAGCCUUAUGAAGACUUUUCUCCAACAGGAAGUGCUCGGAUGAAGAAAUGAUGCAUCCGAUAGAAUUUUUCCUCCAAGUUGGUACUGGUCCAGGGGUUGGCAAGAAGGGUCCCUGGGAUGUGUCUUUCCCAUUGCUGAUUCCAAUUAAUAAAGUUCUGUUAGAUCUA